GCUGUUCCCACAUCAGGCACAGCAGCUGCACUUCUCCGACGUUGUGCAGGUUGUUCUAUUUACAUCUGGGAGAAGAGCUGUUCCCACAUCAGGCACAGCAGCUGCACUUCUCCGAUGCCCCUUUGCAGACGCAGCCCUGGGCACACUUGGCACAGCAGCUGCACUUCUCCGACGCCCCUUUGCAGACGCAGCCCUGGGCACACUUGGCAC
rnacentral:lncRNA from 1 species